AUGGGCAAUCGGGGAAUGGAGGACUUGAUUCCUCUGGUAAACCGAAUGCAGGAUGCCUUCUCAGCCAUCGGACAAAAUGCCAACCUGGACCUGCCUCAAAUCGCGGUGGUGGGCGGUCAGAGUGCUGGGAAAAGCUCGGUUUUGGAGAACUUCGUCGGGAAGGAUUUUCUGCCUCGUGGAUCUGGUAUUGUCACUCGGCGCCCCCUAGUGCUCCAGCUGAUCAACUGCCCUACUGAAUAUGCUGAGUUUUUACAUUGCAAGGGGAAGAAGUUUACAGAUUUUGAUGAGGUCCGCCAGGAGAUUGAGGCGGAGACAGAUCGCAUCACCGGCCAAAACAAAGGCAUUUCGCCAGUCCCUAUCAAUCUGCGUGUCUAUUCACCUAAUGUCCUGAACCUCACCCUCGUGGAUUUACCUGGUAUGACCAAAGUGCCCGUCGGGGACCAGCCGGCUGACAUUGAGGCCCAGAUCAGGGAUAUGCUAAUGCAGUUUGUGACUAAGGAGAACUGCUUGUUGCUGGCCGUGUCUCCUGCCAACUCUGAUCUGGCCAACUCAGAUGCCCUCAAGAUUGCCAAGGAGGUGGAUCCUCAAGGUAUGAGAACUAUAGGUGUGAUCACUAAAUUGGAUCUAAUGGACGAAGGAACCGAUGCACGUGAAAUCCUUGAGAACAAGCUUCUUCCCUUACGCAGAGGCUACAUUGGGGUUGUGAACCGCAGUCAGAAGGACAUUGAUGGCAAGAAGGACAUCACUGCGGCCAUGAGUGCUGAAAGGAAGUUUUUCCUCACCCAUCCGUCCUACCGACACCUGGCCGAUCGCAUGGGGACUCCAUACCUGCAAAAAGCGCUUAAUCAGCAAUUGACUAAUCACAUCCGAGACACCCUGCCGGGACUGAGGAAUAAACUUCAGAGCCAGUUACUGUCCAUUGAGAAGGAGGUGGAGGAGUACAAGCACUUCCGCCCUGAUGAUCCUUCCCGCAAAACCAAAGCUCUGCUACAGAUGGUGCAGCAGUUUGCGGUGGAUUUCGAGAAGUGCAUCGAGGGUUCAGGAGAUCAGGUGGACACGGUGGAGCUUUCCGGAGGUGCGAGGAUCAAUCGCAUCUUCCACGAGCGCUUCCCCUUUGAACUGGUUAAGAUGGAGUUUGAUGAAAAAGAGCUGCGGAAGGAGAUCAGUUACGCCAUCAAGAACAUUCACGGUAUCAGGACCGGUCUGUUUACUCCAGACAUGGCUUUCGAGACUAUUGUUAAACGGCAGAUCGCCAAGAUCAAAGAGCCAUGCCAGAAAUGUGUAGACCUGGUCAUCACCGAGCUGGUCAAUACAGUCAGGCAGUGCACAAAGAAGCUGGCCCAAUACCCCAUGCUUAGAGAGGAAAUGGAGAGGAUUGUCACCCAGCAUAUCCGCGAUCGAGAGAGUCGCACUAAGAAUCAGGUCAUGCUGCUAAUAGACAUUGAGUUAGCCUACAUGAACACCAAUCAUGAGGAUUUCAUUGGCUUUGCAAACGCCCAACAGAGAAGCAGUCAGAUGAAUAAGAAGAAAGCUGCUGGCAAUCAGGAUGAGAUAAUGGUGAUCAGAAAGGGUUGGCUCACCAUCAAUAACAUUGGCAUCAUGAAAGGAGGAGCGAAGGAGUACUGGUUUGUCAUGACCGCUGAAAAUCUGUCCUGGUACAAGGAUGAUGAGGAGAAAGAGAAGAAGUACAUGCUGCCAUUGGACAACCUGAAACUCAGAGAUAUCGAGAAGAGUUUCAUGUCCAGCAAGCACGUGUUUGCUCUCUUCAACACUGAACAAAGGAACGUAUAUAAAGACUACAGGCAGUUGGAGUUGGCUAGCGACACUCAGGAGGAGGUGGACAGUUGGAAAGCAUCCUUCUUACGAGCUGGAGUUUACCCAGAGCGCAUCACUGACAAAGAGAAGCAGAGUGACACCAGUGACGAGAGCAGCUCGGAUGGCUUCAUGCACUCCAUGGAUCCUCAGCUUGAGAGGCAGGUGGAGACCAUCAGAAACCUUGUGGAUUCCUACAUGGCCAUUGUCAACAAGACUGUGCGGGACCUCAUGCCCAAGACCAUCAUGCACCUCAUGAUCAACAAUACUAAGGACUUCAUCCAUGCUGAGCUGCUAGCUAACCUGUACUCAUGUGGAGACCAGAACACUCUGAUGGAGGAGUCUGCAGAGCAGGCUCAGCACAGGGAGGAGAUGCUGCGCAUGUACCACGCUCUAAAAGAGGCCCUGAACAUCAUCGGGGACAUCAGCACCAGCACCGUCUCCACUGCCAUGCCUCCACCGGUCGAUGACUCCUGGCUGCAGGUACAAGGAGGACCUUCAGGGCGCAGAUCUCCAAUGUCUAGCCCCACUCCUCAACGCCGGGCCCCACCGGGACCCCCUCGUCCAGGUGGACGCACUGCUCCAGGACCCCCUACUAUUGGUGCUCCUCCUGUGCCAUCCAGACCCGGAGCCUCUCCAGACCCCUUCGGUGCCCCUCCACCACAGGUCCCCUCUCGUCCCAACCGUGCACCACCCGGUGUCCCCAGCCCUUCCGCCCUGACCUGAUCCCUGGUCUUUAUCACAAGAAAGACAGAUCAGUAACACUCUUCCUUCUAUUUCUACUUCUCUCUCCUGUCACACUCCAUUACUUUUGCUCAGCUCACACACUCCUACACAGUCCAACUCAGAGACCUGCACUAACACACCACUCACGCAUUUCACUGACUCUCCUCCAUGUGCAUGUUCACUCCAGUGUUGCGUUAACUCAUUCUGUUCAUUGUAUAAUUGUUUGUAUCUAAAGAAGCAUCAACUUUGUGAGAUCAUUCUCUCAUGAUAUACAUGUUUGGGAGGAAUUAAAAGGGAAAAAAACGUUAAGAGUGAUUCAUUUGUCGUUUCAUCCGGCUGCCUCUUUUUUCUGUCGAUGUGUUCUCCUCAAACUAAAUCCCUUCUACAAUGAUUCCCCGUUAUCCUUUCAGAAUUUCUAUCAGUGACCAAUGAGGAGUUACGCAAAUGCCGUCCGAGCAAAGGAAGCCCUUCUCACAGUGAGAGUCCACAACCUUCGUUUGACUCUUAGAGUCAAUUGUCCUUCCUCUCCAUCCUCGUUUCUCUCUCUCUUUCUCUGUCUCUCCUCUGACCAAGUGCAUCAUGGGAUCGAUGCGUUGGCAUCUGAAACAGCAGGUAUGGAUGGAAGGAAGAAUGCAGGACAACACUUUGUACUAUACUCACUACAAACAUCAUCACGGGCCUCUGAAUAAUGAGCCCAAUGUGGACUUUUGUCACCGCAGUGUUAACUAUAUCCUGAAGAUGCUGUGUGUGGUGUUCGUGUUUACACACUACUAGAUAAUGUCGACUAUUAUAGAGUUUUGAAAUGAGCUAAAAGUGUAUCUUCACGGGUGAAUACACAAUAUAAGAUGUAUGAUUUUUUUUUUUGCACUUGUUAUGUGGUACUUAAUGUAUGAAUGUAUUAGCCCUGAAAGUUUGGAUGUUAUUUGAUCCCACAGUGUGUGUUUCGACCUUUAUGUCUCUUUGUAUUUUCCUUAGCAAUCUAAUAAAACUUGUCUCACUGACACAUACUGUACAUACAUUAGAAUAUAUUUAUACAUAUAAAGGAACACACCACUUAUUUGGAAAAAUGUCAUUUUACAAGGCCCCAUAGAGUUGAUUUUUACUAUUUUGUUAAUCCCUUCAGCCAAUGUCUGGGUCUGCGGGAGCACUUUUAGCUUAGCUUAGCAUAAAUCAUUGAAUCGGAUUAGACCAUUAGCAUCUCGCUCAAACAUUUCAAUAAAGAGUUUUGAUUAGUAUACAAUGUAACAACAGAAGGGUCAAACUUUAAAUAGGAAAUUUAUUAAAGCUUAUUUUUGAAAUUUUUUGAGUGAUGCUAAUGGUCCAAUCCAAUUCACUGGUUUAUGCUAAGCUAAGCUAAAAGUGUUAAUCGGCUGAAUGGAUUCAAAAAUGGUAAAAAUAUACUGUUUAAACCUCUAAAAUGAGCCUAUUUCUAAAGAAAGUGGAGUGUUCCUUUAAAAAGUGUCUGGUAUGGAGGAGAAAGUCUCAGAAUUGCGUUUUAUGUGAAGAUUCAUGUGCAUUUGUUGAUGCGGCAGUAAAAAGUUACAUUUGCAAAAUCAAAAGGAACACUCCACUUGUUUUAGAAUAGUCACUUAGAGAUAAACAGUUGAGUUUUACCAUUUUUAAAUCCAUUCAGCCAAUCUCUGAGUCUGCGGGAGCACUUUUAGCUUAGCUUAGCAUAAAUCAUUGAAUCGGAUUAGACCAUUAGCAUUUUGCUCAAUUUCAAUAAAAGGUUUUGAUGAAUUUCCUGUUUAGAGUUUAACUGUUUUGUAGUUACACUGUUUAAGACUGAAAGAUAAUAAUAUUAUGCAGCACAUAAAAAUAUUGCAGCAAAGUACUUUGAUUAUUAUGAAUGUUCUUAGCCAUAUCAGUACACAAUGUAAUUACAGAAGUGUCAAGCUAUAAAUAGGAAAAUUAUUGAAGCUUUUUUUUUUUGAGUGAUGCUAAUGGUCCAAUCCGAUUCAAUGGUUUAUGCUAAGCUAAGCUAAGCUAAAAGUGAUAAGUUGGCUGAAUGGAUUCAAAAAUGGUAAAAAUAUAUGAUUUAAAACUAGGUUUAAAUCACUAAAAUGGGCCUUUUUCCAAAAAAGUAAAGUGGUCCUUUUAAAAAGGGUCUGGUAUGCAAUAUUGUUAGGUUAAAUAAUUAGAAUAAUUAAGUUAAAUUUGCAUAAUCAAAGCAACACUUGUUUCGGAAUAGUCGCUUAUAGUUAAACAGUUGAAUUUUACCAUUUUAUAAAUCCAUUCAAACCAAUCUCAGGGUCUGCAGAAGCACUUUUAGCUUAGCUUAGCAUAAAUCAUUAAAUCGGAUUAGACCAUUAGCAUCUCGCUCAAAAAUUUCAAAAAAGAGUUUUGAUUAAUUUCCUAUUUAAAGCUUGACUUUUUUGUUGUUACAUCGUGUACUAAGACUGACAGAAAAUUAUAUGAUACAGAAAAAUAUGGCUGCAAAGUUCUUUGAUUAUUGCACUGGAAUGAGAGUAUACUUCUUAGCCAGCCAUAGCAGUCUAUGAAAUGGCAACCUUUAAUUUUUUUUUGUCUUAGUACCCAGCGUUACUACAUAAGAGUCAAGCUUUAAAUACGAAAAUUAUCUAAACUCUUCUUUGAUUUUUAGUUUUUUUUUUUGAGUGGUGUUAAUGGUCCAAUUGGAUUCAAUGGUUUAUGCUAAGCUAAGCUAAAAGAGUUAAUCAGCUGAAUAGAUUCAAAAAUGGCAAAAAUCUACAGUUUAAACCUUGAAAAUGAGCCUAUUUCUAAAAGAAAGUGGAGUGUUACUUUAAAGUGUCUGGUAUGGAGGAGAAGGUCUCAGAAUUGUGUUAUAAAGAUUUAUAUGCAGUUGUUGAUGCGGCAGUAAAAAGUGGCCGACCAAAAUGAUCUUUUUCAAUUGCAAUAUUGUUAAGUAAAAUAAAUAACAUAAUUAAGUUAAACUUGCAAAAAUUUAAACAGUUGAGUUUUACCUUUUUUUAAUCCAUUCAGCGAUCUCCGGGUAUGCGGGAGCACUUUUAGCUUACCUUAGCAUAAAUUAUGGAAUCGGAUUAGACCAUUAGCAUCUUGCUCAAUUUCAAUAAAGAGUUUUGAUGAAUUUCCUGUUUAAAGUUUGACUGCUUUGUAGUUUUAUUGUGUAAGACUGACAGAAAAUAAUAUUAUGCAGCACAUAAACUACUUUGAUUAUUACGCUGGAAUGCUCUUAGCCAUAUCAGUACACAAUGUAACUACAGAAGUGUCAAGCUAUAAAUAGGAAAAUUAUUGAAUUCUUUUUUUUUUUUUGAGUGAUGCUAAUGGUCCAAUCCGAUUCAAUGGUUUAAGCUAAGCUAAGCUAAAAGUUAGAAAUAGCUGAAUGGAUUCAAAAUGGUAGAAAUCUACUGUUUAUAUCCAGGUUUAAAUCUCUAAAUUAAGCGUAUUCCCUUAAAAAGUGGAGUGUUCCUUUAAAAAAAAAAGAGUACAAAACCUCAGAUUUGUGUUUAUGUGAAGAUGAUGCAGUUCAUUUGUUUGUUUAUGGGGCAGUAAAAGGUGGCUGACCAAAAGCAAAGGGCGGCAAAUCAGUUAGAUUGUUUUUAAUGAAUAAAUCAAUUGAAGCACUCGUAAAACCUUGUCUAAAGGAAGAGAAUGUGUUACUGUGUUGAUGUAUAUUUGUUGUGCAUCUCUGGGAGUGUUUCUGUUGCAUUGUGUCACCUUGUACAUUUACUGAGUAUUAAUAAAAAGUCAUUGUAUUGAAAAUGAACUGAUUGUAAAAGUUUAGGGUUUGUUUGUAUGUAUGUGUGUGUGUAUAUAUAUACAUAUAUAUAGGGGGUCUGUGGGCAACACCAAAAUCUCUAGUCUAUAUGGAAUGGGUGUGUGUGAAUCUCACUGCUGCCAUGUGCAUCUUAUUGUGGUCUGAUGUCAUCAAUGGCUGGUGCUUCGUGACUAAAUUAAAGUGUCUUUGUGUGAAAGAUAA